AGGUGGCUGGCUUUUAGCCAGGCCAAAACAGAGCCAGCAAUUCGCAACUGAGGUUCCGAGGUUGCAUCACAGAGAGCAGACAAGUUGCUGGUUGCUGGUUGCUGGCUGUUUGAGCUGCAUCAUCAUCGUCAUGUGCAUAAUUCGAUUUCUGGACCGGCCACUACAUAUCUCAGCCCCUACGCGCAGCGCCGACCGGCUGUAACAAAAACAAUUCAAUUUGCCAUUGUUAAAAGCCCGGUCGGCAAACCAAUUUGCGCUGCCUAAAAGCAAACCUAAUAGACCCUGAUGACUCUCGGAAUCCGGAAAAUGAAAUCCAGGGUCCAGACUCCAGUGCAACUGCACUGAUCCAUGACCUAUGUGUGGGUAUGGAAAUGUGCGCUUCGCUGCCCGCCAGCAAUUUUUUAAUGUGCCCCAGUAUCUGCAAGUGUAAUCUGAAAAGCCAAAAGUAUCUGGCCCACUCACACAGCGCACAUACUGCCAUAUAUCCAUACAUAUGUACAUAUAUCCAUAUAUCCACAUGGUCGUAUAGUCGCAGUUGGCAAGUGGUGUGUGCAUGUUGCAAAUGACUAGGCGCCCAGAAAACGGCGUACAAUCGCGACGAAACGGGUUCUAGAUACAUUUUUCGGCGUAGAUAUAUAUCUAAACGGACGCAUCUACCAGCCACCGAAAGCAGCUGAGCUAGAACAGCCAGCAAUACAAAAACACCGACUGGAGGGACAGACAGACAGCGGCAAUUAUGUGCAGAGCUGGAACUGAAGACUGCGACUACGUUUAGUAUUUCACGCAGCACUGGAGAUACAAAAUACACAGGGAAAAUCACUUAGCAAGUUAACAAAAGAUUUGAACAAACUACUUUACUUGGUAGUUAAUGAGUUCAAAAGUUGUAAAUUGUAUUUUAUGAAUAUCCCCAAGUAGAUUUAGCUCAGAAUUAAACCUGAAGUUAUGGACUUCUUUUUUUUCUCUGCCAGCGGAUACAAAUGGCUGCCGAUGCCUUUGCCACUGCAACAUCAACAGGGGAGUCGAAAAAUAUACAAAUAUGUGUAAUCGUCGAACAAACAAGACACGAGCUUGCGAGCUUCUCCAGUGGCAUCCGCAGAAGGAAUCGGAAUCGAAAUUGGAAUCGUUGUAGUGUCUAGCUUCGUGUAUCUGGGCGCCUGUUCCAAUCUGUACAUCUUCAUUUUUCUAUCCAACCAUCCACGAUUUGCAGACCCGUAGAGUGAGUGUUUGUGUGCGCCCCGGUGCAUUUGUCAUGCCAAUGCCAACAAGCCAGCAAACUGGCAAACGGGCAAACGGACGACUUUCUUUAUGGCCAACGGCAGAAGAUGCAGCCACCGAAUAAAAAAAAAAAAAAUAACAACAGCAGUGCCAACUGCUAGUCAGCGGAAAAGCACUUAACCGCUCCUCGUUUCCCAAACAGCUGCUUGGGAAAUUUAGUAUCUGUUUUAGAUGCAAAUACAGCGUAUUGCAAUAAGCGUAUCAAGCGCCAUUAAUCUCAGCUGCAUCUUAGCCAAAUCAUGGACUACAAUCACCGCACUAUAUAAAUGCGUUUUGCCUAAAUAACUUUUUAAACAGCUGCAAGCCGAAAUUCUCGACAGUCUCUUCAGUCUGUCGGUCGGUCAGACGCAAUGUUUGAUACAAAAGGCUUCACAAACAAUUAAGUGGAAAACAUUUAUUUAUUUAUAGGCAAACCGGUUUGCUCAAGCUCAGUCAGUAGUGGCUAGAAUAAAAGUGGUAAGCUGUGGACGCUGGGGAAUGCGAGAGACGAGCGUUGCGUUGAGUUGGCUGAGUGUAACGAAAACGAAAUGAAAAACUCGGAAUAAAUCGAAUGAAAAAUUCCACAAGUGAGGUACAGUUCGUCUCGGGGCUAAAAGAUAACUGCAGUUAAAUCGGAACUGCACUUCAUCGAAUAAGGUGGCAG
ensembl:ncRNA lncRNA:CR46084 long non-coding RNA:CR46084